CCUACGGGGGGCAGCAGUGAGGAAUAUUGGUCAAUGGACGAGAGUCUGAACCAGCCAAGUAGCGUGAAGGAUGACUGCCCUAUGGGUUGUAAACUUCUUUUAUAUGGGAAUAAAAUGUUCCACGUGUGGGAUUUUGUAUGUACCAUAUGAAUAAGGAUCGGCUAACUCCGUGCCAGCAGCCGCGGUAAUACGGAGGAUCCGAGCGUUAUCCGGAUUUAUUGGGUUUAAAGGGAGCGUAGGUGGAUUGUUAAGUCAGUUGUGAAAGUUUGCGGCUCAACCGUAAAAUUGCAGUUGAAACUGGCAGUCUGGAGUACAGUAGAGGUGGGCGGAAUUCGUGGGGUAGCGGUGAAAUGCUUAGAUAUCACGAAGAACUCCGAUUGCGAAGGCAGCUCACUGGACUGCAACUGACACUGAGGCUCGAAAGUGUGGGUAUCAAACAGGAUUAGAGACCCUUGUAGUC
rnacentral:rRNA from 1 species